GACGAACGCUGGCGGCGUGCUUAACACAUGCAAGUCGAACGGAAAGGCCUGCUUUCCCUUGUGGAUUGCAGGUACUCGAGUGGCGAACGGGUGAGUAACACGUGGGUGAUCUGCCCCCCACUUGGGUAUAAGCCUGGGAAACUGGGUCUAAUUCCCGAUAGGACUGCAGGGUGGUGCCUGUGGUGGAAAACGAUUUUCUAGUGGUUGGGGAUGAGCUCGCGGCCUAUCAGCUUGUUGGUGGGGUAAUGGCCUACCAAGGCGGCGACGGGUAGCCAGCCUGAGAGGGUGGACGACCACAUUGGAACUGAGAUACGGCCCAGACUCCUACGGGAGGCAGCAGUGGAGAAUAGUGCACAAUGGGCGGAAGCCUGAUGCAGCGACGCCGCGUGGGGGAUGACGGCCUUCGAGUUGUAAACUCCUUUCGACCGCGAGGAAGCCACCUGGUUGGAAGGGUGGUGACGGUAGUGGUAUAAGAAGCACCGGCUAACUACGUG
rnacentral:rRNA from 1 species